rnacentral:lncRNA from 1 species
CAACUCACAGCAGAGAACUAUUUCUUCCCCUACUGCUCUUUCACAAAGGAAACUGCAUGGUAAAUGUAACUGAGAUAUUUGGCUAGGAUAGAUCCUGAGAAAAGAGAGGCCCAGUUAGAAGUGGAAUAGACAAAGUCUGUCAAUGAAGGUUCACCUCUCUUUUAACAUAAAAGAUCCUUUUAGAUACUCUUAGGAAUCAGAUAAAACAUGUGCAGAAUUUCUGCCAUGCAAACAGAGACUACUGAAAUUUUCAGGCUGACCAAUUGAUACUGACCUGGGCCCCAAGUAAGUAGAAUAAAAAGAUGUCUUUAUCAGAAAGAUAUGUGUUUGCCUGUUUUUACUAGACUAUAUAUAUACAUAUUUACAAAUGAGUAUUUUUUUAAUGUGUUUUCAUUAUUCUCAGUAACAGCAUCAUGGUUAAGGGCUCUUUGCUGACUUCUUGCCCUAGGCAUGUGUAUCUUUUUAUUCUUCUGAAUUUCCUUCAUGGCAGGAUCAUUCAUUACACAAUCUUGGGUCCAUGACAUUUAUAUUUACAGACGACAUUACAGGUUUAAAUCUGGAUUUCUGAGGAAUUUUUAACUCCUGCAUUCAGACCAGGUUUAGCAAGGUACAAAUAUAUAUAUGAGGCUUCCAACAAGAAAAGUGUGACUGAUUCCUUGAAGACUGAUGCUAGAACUGAGAAAAUAGACCUCUUUAAGUGUUACUGGUAAUCCUGCCUCCUAAAAUAUUAU